rnacentral:rRNA from 1 species
GACGAACGCUGGCGGCGUGCUUAACACAUGCAAGUCGAACGGUGAAGCGCCUUCCUUUUUGGUGGGUGUGGAUGAGUGGCGAACGGGUGAGUAACACGUGAGUAACCUGCCCCCUUCUUCUGGAUAACGGCAUGAAAGUGUGGCUAAUACGGGAUAUUCUGGGUCUGUCGCAUGAUGGGUUUGGGAAAGCUAUUGUUUCGGUGGGGGAUGGGCUCGCGGCCUAUCAGCUUGGUGGUGGGGUGAUGGCCUACCAAGGCGGUGACGAGUGGCCGGCCUGAGAGGGUGGGCGGUCACAGUAGGACGGCGCGACGGCGCAGACUACUAGAGGAGGCAGCAGUGGGGAUUAUUGCACAAUGGGCGCAAGCCUGAUGCAGCGCCGCCGCGGGGAGGAUGGAGUCCUUCGUGUUGAGAACCUCUUUCGCGAGUGAAGCAGGCCUGCCUCGUUUGUGGGUGGGUUGACGGUAGCUGGAUAAGAAGCGCCGGCUAACUACGUG